UGCCGUCGACUUAUUCAGACGUGUGCUCAUUUGGAUUUGUAAAACAUGCUUCCUAGUGACGCAACAAUUGAAAAGUGGCUACAGGAAGUAUCGUCUGGUGAAGAUGACCUGUCGGAUGAAGGAUACAGUGCCGUAGAACCAGAACUU